UACGUAGGGUGCGAGCGUUGCCCGGAUUUAUUGGGCGUAAAGGGCGCGUAGGCGGCUCGGCACGUCCGUUGUGAAAUCGCCCGGCUCAACUGGGCGGGGUCAGCGGAUACGGUCGAGCUUGAGCAAGCUAGGGGGCAAUGGAAUUCCCGGUGUAGUGGUGGAAUGCGUAGAUAUCGGGAGGAACACCAGUGGCGAAGGCGGCCUGCUGGGACAUGGCUGACGCUGAGGCGCGACAGCGUGGGGAGCAAACAGG
rnacentral:rRNA from 1 species